rnacentral:rRNA from 1 species
AGAGAUCAUGGCUCAGGAUGAACGCUAGCGGCAGGCUUAAUACAUGCAAGUCGAGGGGCAGCAUGGUUGUAGCAAUACAACUGAUGGCGACCGGCAAACGGGUGCGGAGCACGUACGCAAUCUACCCAAAACUGGUGAAUAGCCCUCCGAAAGGAGGAUUAAUACACCGUAACCUAUUGAAGUGGCAUCACUUUAUUAGUAUAGCUCCGGCGGUUUUGGAUGAGCGUGCGGCUGAUUAGGUAGUUGGCGGGGUAACGGCCCACCAAGCCUGCGAUCAGUAACUGGUGUGAGAGCACGACCAGUCACACGGGCACUGAGACACGGGCCCGACUCCUACGGGAGGCAGCAGUAAGGAAUAUUGGUCAAUGGACGCAAGUCUGAACCAGCCAUGCCGCGUGAAGGAUGAAGGUCCUCUGGAUUGUAAACUUCUUUUAUAGGGGACGAAACCUCUUUUUCUAAAGAGACUGACGGUACCCUAGGAAUAAGCACCGGCUAACUCCGUGCCAGCAGCCGCGGUAAUACGGAGGGUGCAAGCGUUAUCCGGAUUCACUGGGUUUAAAGGGUGCGUAGGAGGGCAGGUAAGUCAGUGGUGAAAUCUCCGAGCUUAACUUGGAAACUGCCAUUGAUACUAUCUGUCUUGAAUAUUGUGGAGGUGAGCGGAAUAUGUCAUGUAGCGGUGAAAUGCUUAGAUAUGACAUAGAACACCAAUUGCGAAGGCAGCUCGCUACACAUAUAUUGACUCUGAGGCACGAAAGCGUGGGGAUCAAACAGGAUUAGAUACCCUGGUAGUCCACGCCCUAAACUAUGGAUACUCGACAUACGCGAUACACUGUGUGUGUCUGAGCGAAAGCAUUAAGUAUCCACCUGGGAAGUACGACCGCAAGGUUGAAACUCAAGGAAUUGGC